rnacentral:rRNA from 1 species
CCUACGGGAGGCUGCAGUGGGGAAUAUUGGACAAUGGGCGAAGGCCUGAUCCAGCCAUGCCGCGUGUGUGAAGAAGGCCUUCGGGUUGUAAAGCACUUUCAGUGGGGAAGAAAGCCUUGGGGCUAAUACCCUCGAGGAAGGACAUCACCCACAGAAGAAGCACCGGCUAACUCCGUGCCAGCAGCCGCGGUAAUACGGAGGGUGCGAGCGUUAAUCGGAAUUACUGGGCGUAAAGCGCGCGUAGGCGGUCUGAUAAGCCGGUUGUGAAAGCCCCGGGCUCAACCUGGGAACGGCAUCCGGAACUGUCAGGCUAGAGUGCAGGAGAGGAAGGUAGAAUUCCCGGUGUAGCGGUGAAAUGCGUAGAGAUCGGGAGGAAUACCAGUGGCGAAGGCGGCCUUCUGGACUGACACUGACGCUGAGGUGCGAAAGCGUGGGUAGCAAACAGGAUUAGAUACCCCAGUAGUC